UGGGGAAUUUUGGACAAUGGGGGAAACCCUGAUCCAGCCAUCCCGCGUGUGCGAUGAAGGCCUUCGGGUUGUAAAGCACUUUUGGCAGGAAAGAAACGUCGCGGGUUAAUACCCCGCGAAACUGACGGUACCUGCAGAAUAAGCACCGGCUAACUACGUGCCAGCAGCCGCGGUAAUACGUAGGGUGCAAGCGUUAAUCGGAAUUACUGGGCGUAAAGCGUGCGCAGGCGGUUCGGAAAGAAAGAUGUGAAAUCCCAGAGCUUAACUUUGGAACUGCAUUUUUAACUACCGGGCUAGAGUGUGUCAGAGGGGAGGUGGAAUUCCGCGUGUAGCAGUGAAAUGCGUAGAUAUGCGGAGGAACACCGAUGGCGAAGGCAGCCUCCUGGGAUAACACUGACGCUCAUGCACGAAAGCGUGGGGAGCAAACAGGAUUAGAUACCCUGGUAGUCCACGCCCUAAACGAUGUCAACUAGCUGUUGGGGCCUUCGGGCCUUGGUAGCGCAGCUAACGCGUGAAGUUGACCGCCUGGGGAGUACGGUCGCAAGAUUAAAACUUAAAUGAAUU
rnacentral:rRNA from 1 species